rnacentral:rRNA from 1 species
UACGUAGGGGGCAAGCGUUGUCCGGAUUUAUUGGGCGUAAAGAGCUCGUAGGUAGUUCGGUAAGUCGGAUGUGAAAUCUCCAGGCUCAACCUGGAGACGCCACCUGAUACUGCUGUGGCUAGAGUCCGGUAGGGGAGCGUGGAAUUCCUGGUGUAGCGGUGAAAUGCGCAGAUAUCAGGAGGAACACCAGCGGCGAAGGCGGCGCUCUGGGCCGGAACUGACGCUGAGGAGCGAAAGCGUGGGUAGCAAACAGG